UUCUUAUCCAGAGAAGUGGAGGGAACUGGCCCUAUGAUACUUCAGCAACAGACUUUAAGUACUGUGCUAAAUCCAGCAAGCAUAUGCUUGGUAGAUAAGUG
rnacentral:ncRNA from 2 species